GGCAACGGCUGGCGGCUACACAUGCAAGUCGAGCGGUAGCACAAGAGAGCUUGCUCUCUGGGUGACGAGCGGCGGACGGGUGAGUAAUGUCUGGGAAACUGCCUGAUGGAGGGGGAUAACUACUGGAAACGGUAGCUAAUACCGCAUGAUGUCUUCGGACCAAAGUGGGGGACCUUCGGGCCUCACGCCAUCAGAUGUGCCCAGAUGGGAUUAGCUAGUAGGUGGGGUAAUGGCUCACCUAGGCGACGAUCUCUAGCUGGUCUGAGAGGAUGACCAGCCACACUGGAACUGAGACACGGUCCAGACUCCUACGGGAGGCAGCAGUGGGGAAUAUUGCACAAUGGGCGCAAGCCUGAUGCAGCCAUGCCGCGUGUAUGAAGAAGGCCUUCGGGUUGUAAAGUACUUUUCAGCGAGGAGGAAGGCAUUAAGGUUAAUAACCUUGGUGAUUGACGUUACUCGCAGAAGAGAGCACCGGCUAACUCCGUGCCAGCAGCCGCGGUAAUACGGAGGGUGCAAGCGUUAUCGGAAUUACUGGGCGUAAAGCGCACGCAGGCGGUUGAUUAAGUCAGAUGUUGAAAUCCCGGAGCUUUACUUGGGGAACUGCUUUUGAAACUGGUCAGCUAUAGUCUUGUAAAG
rnacentral:rRNA from 1 species